CCUACGGGAGGCAGCAGUGGGGGAUAUUGCACAAUGGGGGGAACCCUGAUGCAGCGACGCCGCGUGGGUGAAGAAGCGCCUCGGCGCGUAAAGCCCUGUCAGCAGGGAAGAAAAUGACGGUACCUGAAGAAGAAGCCCCGGCCAAGUACGUGCCAGAAGCCGCGGUAAGACGUAGGGGGCAAGCGUUAUCCGGAUUUACUGGGUGUAAAGGGGGCGCAGACGGCGAUGCAAGCCAGGAGUGAAAGCCCGGGGCCCAACCGCGGGACUGCUCUUGGAACUGCGUGGCUGGAGUGCAGGAGGGGCAGGCGGAAUUCGUGGUGUAGCGGUGAAAUGCGUAGAUAUCAGGAGGAACACCGGUGGCGAAGGCGGCCUGCUAGACUGCAACUGACAUUGAGGCCCGAAAGCGUGGGGAGCAAACAGGAUUAGAUACCCGUGUAGUC
rnacentral:rRNA from 1 species